rnacentral:rRNA from 1 species
AUUGAACGCUGGCGGAAUGCUUUACACAUGCAAGUCGAACGGUAGAGGGGGCAACCCCUCGAGAGUGGCGAACGGGUGAGUAAUAUAUCGGAACGUGCCCAGGCGUGGGGGAUAACGUAGCGAAAGUUACGCUAAUACCGCAUACGAUCUAAGGAUGAAAGCGGGGGAUCGCAAGACCUCGCGCGAUUGGAGCGGCCGAUAUCAGAUUAGGUAGUUGGUGGGGUAAAGGCUCACCAAGCCAACGAGCUGAAGCUGGUCUGGGAGGACGACCAACCACACUGGAACUGAGACACUGUCCAGACUCCUACGGGAGGCAGCAGUGGGGAAUUUUGGACAAUGGACGCAAGUCUGAUCCAGCCAUUCCGCGUGCAGGAUGAAGGCCCUCGGGUUGUAAACUGCUUUUGUACGGAACGAAAAGGUUUCCAUUAAUACUGGGAGCUCAUGACGGUACCGUAAGAAUAAGCACCGGCUAACUACGUGCCAGCAGCCGCCGUAA